AUUCUAUUGACCACACUUUAUGUUAUUUCCAUGCUACAUACAUACACUUGAUCCAUGUCGUUAGUUAUAUUGAUAUACGUGAUCUAUGUUGGUUCUACUUACGAAUGAGUAACGAAGAGCACUUAAUUCCUAUGUUGGUAUGAUUGAUGGACCGGAUUGUUCAUGACAAUUUUAUUGUGAUAGCAAUUUUGUGCACCUAAGGUUUGUAACAUAUAAUAUUAAGGNNNN
rnacentral:lncRNA from 1 species